UACUCCCAAAUGUUUUCUUUUCAAAGCCUUUUACAUUAAUUCAACUUGUGUCACGCUAAUCUUUCUAGUUGCGACCCACAGAAACAACUUGGAUGACACGACCACAAAUGUAAAAUCCUCAACUUUUGGUGAUAAAGCUGCUCUGUCAACAGAGCUCGGUGCUUAAUUAUCUGAUGUACAGUUUUCGGUUAUUACAUACAACUUUUUUGAUGUAAUGUUAAUGAUAUGUUACAGAAAUACCCCACUAAGAUUCAGAAGAUUCAUAUUUGUCUUGGUAAAAUGUAUUUUAUGUCAUCACCAAAGCAUGUCAUCACCAAAGCACGUUUUCAUCUACUGUGGGCAGAGUGGGCUCACACCCUACUAGAGGGGAUAACUAAGGUAAGGGAAUUGUUUGAAAUGUCAUCAUGCUAUAUAUUGUACAUGUACAAUGGAACAUUUUGUUUAUCCCCCCCCCAGCUCUCACAGUGAGUUAGUGUAUGUGUGUCUGUCUGUCCGUCUGCUUGCCUGUCUGUCUGUCUUUCUGUUUGUUUAGGAGUUUCAAACAACACUUGAGGGCAUGUUCAUUGAGCAAUGAGCAGAUGUAGGAGCUCAUCCUCAUGAAGUUAAUCUACAGUAUAACAGGUGAUGCACUGUAGGUAUUUUUUUUAUUUUUUUAUUUCACCUUUAUUUAACCAGGUAAGCAAGUUGAGAACAAGUUCUCAUUUACAAUUGCGACCUGGCCAAGAUAAAGCAAAGCAGUUCGACACAUACAACGACACAGAGUUACACAUGGAGUAAAACAAACGUACAGUCAAUAAUACAGUAAAAAAAAACAAGUCUAUAUACAAUGUGAGCAAAUUAGGUGAGAAGGGAGGUAAAGGCAAAAAAGGCCAUGGUGGCAAAGUAAAUACAAUAUAGCAAGUAAAACACUGGAAUGGUAGUUUUGCAAUGGAAGAAUGUGCAAAGUAGAAAUAAAAAUAAUGGGGUGCAAAGGAGCAAAAUAAAUAAAUAAAUUAAAUACAGUUGGGAAAGAGGUAGUUGUUUGGGCUAAAUUAUAGGUGGGCUAUGUACAGGUGCAGUAAUCUGUAAGAUGCUCUGACAGUUGGUGCUUAAAGCUAGUGAGGGAGAUAAGUGUUUCCAAUUUAAGAGAUUUUUGUAGUUCGUUCCAGUCAUUGGCAGCAGAGAACUGGAAGGAGAGGCGGCCAAAGAAAGAAUUGGUUUUGGGGGUGACUAGAGAGAUAUACCUGCUGGAGUGUGUGCUACAGGUGGGAGAUGCUAUGGUGACCAGCGAGCUGAGAUAAGGGGGGACUUUACCUAGCAGGGUCUUGUAGAUGAUAUGGAGCCAGUGGGUUUGGCGACGAGUAUGAAGCGAGGGCCAGCCAACGAGAGCAUACAGGUCGCAAUGGUGGGUAGUAUAUGGGGCUUUGGUGACAAAACGGAUAGCACUGUGAUAGACUGCAUCCAAUUUGUUGAGUAGGGUAUUGGAGGCUAUUUUGUAAAUGACAUCGCCAAAGUCGAGGAUUGGUAGGAUGGUCAAUUUUACAAGGGUAUGUUUGGCAGCAUGAGUGAAGGAUGCUUUGUUGCGAAAUAGGAAGCCAAUUCUAGAUUUAACUUUGGAUUGGAGAUGUUUGAUAUGGGUCUGGAAGGAGAGUUUACAGUCUAACCAGACACCUAAGUAUUUGUAGUUGUCCACGUAUUCUAAGUCAGAGCCGUCCAGAGUAGUGAUGUUGGACAGGCGGGUAGGUGCAGGUAGCGAUCGGUUGAAGAGCAUGCAUUUAGUUUUACUUGUAUUUAAAAAAUAUAUCCCAUAUCCCAGUAUCCCAUAUUAGCAGUGGUGUAAAGUACUUAGGUAAAAUAAUUUCAAGUACUACUUAAGUAGUUUUUGUGGGUAUCUUUACUAUUUAUAUUUUUUUACUACUUUAACUUUACUACAUUCCUAAAGAAAAUUAUGUACUUUUUACUCCAUACAUUUUCCCUGACACCCAAAAGUACUUGUUACAUUUUGAAUGCUUAGCAGUACAGCAAAAUGGGCCAAUUAACAGAUUUAUCAAGAUAAUACGUGGUCAUCCCUACUGACUCUGAUCUAGCAGGCUCACUGAACACAAAUGCAUCUUUUGUAAAUGAUGUUGGAGUGUGCCCCUGGCCAUUUGUACAUUUUUUAAACAAAAAAUGGUGCUGUCUGUCUGCUUUGCUUAAUAUAAAACAUUUGAAAUGAUUUAUACUUUUAUUUUUGAUACUAAAGUACAUUUUAGCAAUUACAUUUACUUUUGAUACUUAAGUAUAUUUCAAAUCAAAUACUUUUAGACUUUUACUCAAGUGGUAUUUUACUGGAUGACUUUCACUUUUACUUGAGGAACUUUUUAUUAAGGUAUCUACACUUUUUCUCAAAUAUGACAAUUGGGUACUUGUUCCACCACUGCAUAUUAGGUACUACUGAUUGGAUGGAUAGAUAGGUGGAGGGAUUGCAAGCAUACAGGUAGAUACUGUACUGUCUCUAACUCUAUGUUUCCAAGUCAAUGCAAGUCAUUACUUGGCACUGAUUAUGCAACCCACAGUGUGUCACACACUGUGAACAGACCUUGUUUGAAGUACCCUUUCUCCUCAUAAGCAGUACUCAAAUGAGUUGGACUUAAAAGUCAUAUUGCUGAGUUGCGUCCCGAUUCUCUUCCCUCUGCCAAAGUGUAUACUUGUAUACUUUUUUUGCAUGGAUUUUCCAUGGAAAUGCCCUUCUUUCCAUGCUUACACCAACCCUAAUGAUGAGAAGUGCACACCUAGUGAGAAGGGUGGAGAAUUGAGACGUACUUUAGCCCUUGUGUGCUCUCUCAACCACCUCUACGCUCAGUACUAUACUAAAGGCUACAGCAAUAUUACAAGAUAAGGGCUGUCUACGGCAUUAAAUAAAAUUGAAUUCUACUCGUAUCAUAGUCCCAUCCUCCCCCACUGAGUUCUUCGGUGACAUUUUGUUUGUUGCAAGUCAAGCUUUUGUUGUCCCCCACGAUGAAAUCGGAGGGGGGAAUGUGGAUCUGUCUCCAGUCUGUUCAUAUGUUCGUCACACGCAAUAUCUCAGACAGCACUGUCCCGAUUUAAUGAUGCGUCUUGCCAUAGCUAUCCGGAAUUUACAAAAUUACACUAAUUGACCCAAGGCGGGAGCUGUAGUAAUUAACUGAAAUUUGUUAGUCACAUGCAAAAUCUCAUUUGGUGGAGGGGAGGCUGCAUUAUUCGUGGCUGAUUGCAUGUUUACUGUUGCCUUCUUUCCGUACCACUAAAUAUCGUCAAUUGUCAACAGGACAGUACCAGAGACUCUGAAAACUCUUUAAUAUUUGAUUAUUAACCAAUGAUAUUAGGCCACUCUUGGCCAUGAUUACAGACACCUGUGUCUUUUGACACUAUAUAAACGAGUCAUCCCGCAGUGUUUGUGAUUAUACCCUGCGUUUCAUUUUCUUCUAGAUUAAACAGUUAGGACAGUACCAGAGACUCUGAAAAGUGGCUGAUCUAUGAUAUGGACUGGCAUUAGUUUGAUUCAGUCUCAUUUUCCUAUUGCUAUAUUUGAAGGCUACAAAUGUUAUUUGUGCCUUUCCAACUAAUCUAUUUUCUGUUCAAACCAUCAGGAAACUCUGAGAAGGUAGUGGUUCCGCUGAACAAUGGCAUUGCUGUGUGUGGACAACCCCAAUAGCUCCUCCAGCAGAUGCUGCCCCCUCCUGUCUUCCAGAUGCUGCUGACCAAGCUGCCCACCAUCAAACAGGUGGUUCCUGGCUGAUGAUCUGUCUCCAUAACUGAGAGAAACCGGGGAGGAAUAUCACUUUGUCUCCAAUACUAUAGUCGUGGCCAAAAGUUUUGAGAAUGACACAAAAUGUUUGCUGCUUCAAUGUCUUUAGAUAUUUUUGUCAGAUGUUACUAUGGAAUACUGAAGUAUAAUUACAAGCAUUUCAUAAGUGUCAAAGGCUUUUAUUGACAAUUACAUGAAGUUGAUGCAAAGAGUCAAUAUUUGCAGUGUUGACCCUUCUUUUUCAAGACCUCUGCAAUCCGCCCUGGUAUGCUGUCAAUUCACUUCUGGGCCACAUCCUGACUGAUGGCAGCCCAUUCUUGCAUAAUCAAUGCUUGGAGUUUGUCAGAAUUUGUGGGUUUUUGUUUGUCCACCUGCCUCUUGAGGAUUCACCACAAGUUCUCAAUGGGAUUAAGGUCUGGGGAGUUUCCUGGCCGUGUACCCAAAAUAUCGAUGUUUUGUUCCCUGAGCCACUUUGUUAUCACUUUUGCCUUAUGGCAAGGUGCUCCAUCAUGCUUGAAAAGGCAUUGUUCAUCACCAAACUGUUCCUGGUGGUUGGGAGAAGUUGCUCUCGGAGGAUGGGUUGGUACCAUUCUUUAUUCAUGGCUGGGUUCUUAAGCAAAAUUGUGAGGGAAACCACUCCCUUGGCUUAGAAGCAACCCCACACAUGAAUGGUCUCAGGAUGCUUUACUGUUGGCAUGACACAGGACUGAUGGUAGUGCUCACCUUGUCUUCUCCGGACAAGCUUUUUUCCAGAUGCCCCAAACAAUCGGAAAGGUGAUUCAUCAGAGAAAAUUACUUUACCCCAGUCCUCAGCAGUCCAAUCCCUAUACCUUUUGCAGAAUAUCAGUCUGUCCCUGAUGUUUUCCUGGAGAGAAGUGCCUUCUUUGCUGCCCUUCUUGACACCAGGCCAUCCUCCAAAAGUCUUCGCCUCACUGUGCGUGCAGAUGAACUCACACCUGCCUGCUGCCAUUCCUGAGCAAGCUCUGUACUGGUGGUGCCCCGAUCCCGCAGCUGAAUCAACUAUAGGAGACGGUCCUGGCGUUUGCUGGACUUUCUUGGGCGCCCUGAAGCCUUCUUCACAACAAUUGAACCGCUCUCCUUGACGUUCUUGAUGUUCCAAUAAAUGGUUGAUUUAGGUGCAGUCUUACUGGCAGCAAUAUCCUUGCCUGUGAAGCCCUUUUUGUGCAAAGCAAUGAUGACGGCACGUGUUUCCUUGCAGGUGACCAAAGUUGACAGAUGAACAACAAUGAUUCCAAGCACCACCCUCCUUUUGAAGCUUCCAGUCUGUUAUUCGAACUCAAUCAGCAUGACAGAGUGAUCUCCAGCCUUGUCCUCGUCAACACUAACACCUGUGAUAACGAGAGAAUCACUGGCAUGAUGUCAGCUGGUCCUUUUGUGGCAGGGCUGAAAUGCAGUGUAAAUGUUUUUGGGGGAUUCAGUUAAUUUGCUUGGCAAAGAGAAACUUUGCAAUUCAUCUGAUCACUCUUCAUAACAUUCUGGAGUAUAUGUAAAUUGCCAUCAUACAAACUGAAGCAGCAGACUUUGUGAAAAUGUAUAUUUGUGUCAUUCUCAAAAAUGUUGGCUAUAACUGUACUACUAAUGUUUGUAACAGUACUGAUGAGGAAGAAGAGAAUGGAUUUAUAUAUAUACAUACAUACAUACACAUACCAAUAUAGACAUACAUACUUUUUUAAAGAAUAUACCUUUUAUUAUUAUUCCCCGCAAACCCUUCCGCCGAUCUAACAAUUGGAGUAAACUAAUAACCACUUCUGCUUCUACCUUCACUCCAUACAUCUUAUACACACCCUACAGACACAGUCUACUCUACAAUAGUUCUCUCUUGUUUGUUCUUAGUCCUUCCUCUAUUUCUGAUGUCCAUCCAGUUUGAUUUCUAUUUGUAACUAUGCUAUUUCACAAAAGCUCCGAACCUAUAUACAUUCUACAGAUCCCUUAUUCCCUACAUUGUUUAUCUUGUUAUUAGUCCCACCCUUCAGCUCCACUCAACCCCUCCCAUCUGUCUAUCAACAUCAUCCAUUUCGGAUUUCUACUUGCCAUAUAUUUUUCAACUGUGCUGUGAUGCUUCACAAAAGAACUGAACCUUCCUAUUCUCAUAGCUUCUACAGAUUGUAAAUUAAAAAUAAACAUUUUUGCUAAAAUAA